UUAAGGAGGUGGGAGUUGAACCCACGACAAAGAAGUCAAAGUUCUUCGUUUUUCCAGUUAAACUACUCCUUA
rnacentral:tRNA from 1 species